rnacentral:rRNA from 1 species
AUUGAACGCUGGCGGCAGGCCUAACACAUGCAAGUCGAGCGGAUGAAGGGAGCUUGCUCCUGGAUUCAGCGGCGGACGGGUGAGUAAUGCCUAGGAAUCUGCCUGGUAGUGGGGGAUAACGUCCGGAAACGGGCGCUAAUACCGCAUACGUCCUGAGGGAGAAAGUGGGGGAUCUUCGGACCUCACGCUAUCAGAUGAGCCUAGGUCGGAUUAGCUAGUUGGUGGGGUAAAGGCCUACCAAGGCGACGAUCCGUAACUGGUCUGAGAGGAUGAUCAGUCACACUGGAACUGAGACACGGUCCAGACUCCUACGGGAGGCAGCAGUGGGGAAUAUUCGACAAAGGGCGAAAGCCUGAUCCAGCCAUGCCGCGUGUGUGAAGAAGGUCUUCGGAUUGUAAAGCACUUUAAGUUGGGAGGAAGGGCAGUAAGUUAAUACCUUGCUGUUUUGACGUUACCAACAGAAUAAGCACCGGCUAACUUCGUG